CCUACGGGAGGCAGCAGUGGGGAAUAUUGGACAAUGGGCGAAAGCCUGAUCCAGCAAUUCCGCGUGUGUGAAGAAGGCCUUCGGGUUGUAAAGCACUUUAGUGGGGGAAGAAACAGCUUGGCCACACCAAGCCUUGACGGUACCCCAAGAAUAAGCACCGGCUAACUCUGUGCCAGCAGCCGCGGUAAUACAGAGGGUGCAAGCGUUAAUCGGAUUUACUGGGCGUAAAGGGUGCGUAGGUGGCUAUUUAAGUCGGAUGUGAAAGCCCGGGGCUCAACCUCGGAAUUGCAUUCGAUACUGAGUGGCUAGAGUUCGGUAGAGGGCGGCGGAAUUUCCGGUGUAGCGGUGAAAUGCGUAGAUAUCGGAAGGAACAUCAAUGGCGAAGGCAGCCGCCUGGGCCUGGACUGACACUGAGGCACGAAAGCGUGGGUAGCAAACAGGAUUAGAUACCCUGGUAGUCCACGCCGUAAACGAUGAGAACUUGACGUUGGUUCGUUUUACGAAUCGGUGUCGCNGCUACGACGAUAAGUUACUCCGUCCGUCGGGUAGGUACGGCCGCGAACGGUUAGGUAAACGUACGAACGGAAAGUUAGACGGCGUGAGACGUGCCGACGGACGACGACGAGGGAGGUAGG
rnacentral:rRNA from 1 species